UACAGAGGUCCCAAGCGUUGUUCGGAUUCACUGGGCGUAAAGGGUGCGUAGGUGGCUUGGUAAGUUUGAUGUGAAAUCUCCGGGCUUAACCCGGAAAUGGCAUUGAAUACUAUUGAGCUGGAGGUUUGGAGGGGGGACUGGAAUUCUCGGUGUAGCAGUGAAAUGCGUAGAUAUCGAGAGGAACACCUGCGGCGAAGGCGGGUUGCUGGGCUGAUACUGACGCUGAGGCGCGAAAGCCAGGGGAGCGAACGGG
rnacentral:rRNA from 1 species